GGCAUGUUCCCAGUUCUCGCGGCAGCGCACAAGGCGCUGCUCUUCAAGUCGAGGGAGUCGCUGGCCAUGAGGACCCUGCACUCGGAGCUCGUCUACAACUACUCUGGCUUGAAGCAUGUAACUGGCUGGUGUUAGACUGUGAUUGGUUCUUGUUGAUGGCAUCCUUCUCUGCCUGUGGGAUCACAGAACAUCCUCUGUUGUUUAGUUUGUUGCCGUAAUGGCAACGACAUCACCGACCGAUGCCAAGCGCAAGUACUCAUGGUGGUGGGACAGUCAUAUCUGCCCAAAGAACUCCAAAUGGCUUCAGGAGAAUCUCAAAGGUGACCAUUUGUGCUGUCGCCGCUUUCGUGCCGGUUGGAGGUGCUGCUGCUGCAUCUGGCGGAGCUGCAGCUGCCGCCCCAAAGGGCAACCUUCAUCAAACACAACCCCAUAACAGGGCCUCAAGGUGAAUGGAGCUUGUGUUGUUGAUAGAACACCGUUGAUGACUUCUUCCUAUGUUGAAGAGCAUGUUCCGUGGUAUCCAAGAGUAGCUAGCUUUAACUUGGCAGAGCAUUUUAUUUUUCAAUGGCAAUAUUUGUGAUUGUGUGGAAUAUUGU